rnacentral:rRNA from 1 species
GACGAACGCUGGCGGCGUGCUUAACACAUGCAAGUCGAACGGAAAGGCCCUGCUUUUGUGGGGUGCUCGAGUGGCGAACGGGUGAGUAACACGUGAGAAACCUGCCCUUGACUUUGGGAUAACUUCAGGAAACUGGGGCUAAUACCGGAUAGGAGCUCCUGCUGCAUGGUGGGGGUUGGAAAGUUUCGGCGGUUGGGGAUGGACUCGCGGCUUAUCAGCUUGUUGGUGGGGUAGUGGCUUACCAAGGCUUUGACGGGUAGCCGGCCUGAGAGGGUGACCGGCCACAUUGGGACUGAGAUACGGCCCAGACUCCUACGGGAGGCAGCAGUGGGGAAUAUUGCACAAUGGGCGGAAGCCUGAUGCAGCAACGCCGCGUGCGGGAUGACGGCCUUCGGGUUGUAAACCGCUUUCACCUGUGACGAAGCGUGAGUGACGGUAAUGGGUAAAGAAGCACCGGCUAACUACGUG